rnacentral:rRNA from 1 species
GAUGAACGCUAGCGGCAGGCUUAAUACAUGCAAGUCGUGGGGCAGCAUGAAUGUAGCAAUACAUUUGACGGCGACCGGCAAACGGGUGCGGAACACGUACACAACCUUCCUAUAAGUGGGGAAUAGCCCAGAGAAAUUUGGAUUAAUACCCCGUAACAUAACGAUGUGGCAUCACAUUGUUAUUAUAGCUUCGGCGCUUAUUGAUGGGUGUGCGGCUGAUUAGAUAGUUGGCGGGGUAACGGCCCACCAAGUCUACGAUCAGUAGCUGAUGUGAGAGCAUGAUCAGCCACACGGGCACUGAGACACGGGCCCGACUCCUACGGGAGGCAGCAGAAAGGAAUAUUGGUCAAUGGACGCAAGUCUGAACCAGCCAUGCCGCGUGAAGGAUUAAGGUCCUCUGGAUUGUAAACUUCUUUUAUCUGGGACGAAAAAAGGCUUUUCUAAGUCACUUGACGGUACCAGAUGAAUAAGCACCGGCUAACUCCGUGCCAGCAGCCGCGGUAACAC